GACGAACGCUGGCGGCGUGCUUAACACAUGCAAGUCGAACGGAAAGGCCCUGCUUUUGUGGGGUGCUCGAGUGGCGAACGGGUGAGUAACACGUGAGUAACCUGCCCUUGACUUUGGGAUAACUUCAGGAAACUGGGUCUAAUACCGGAUAGGAGCUCCUGCUGCAUGGUGGGGGUUGGAAAGUUUCGGCGGUUGGGGAUGGACUCGCGGCUUAUCAGCUUGUUGGUGGGGUAGUUGCUUACCAAGGCUUUGACGGGUAGCCGGCAUGAGAGGGUGACCGGCGACAUGGGGACUGAGAUACGGACCAGACUACUACGGGAGGCAGAAGUGGGGAAUAUUGCACAAUGGGCGGAAGCCUGAUGAAGAAACGCCGCGUGCGGGAUGACGGCCUUCGGGUUGUAAAAAGAUUUAGCAUGUGACGAAGCGUGAGUGACGGUAAUGGGUAAAGAAGCACCGGCUAACUACGUG
rnacentral:rRNA from 1 species